GAUGAACGCUGGCGGCGUGCCUAAUACAUGCCAGUCGAGCGAACAGACGAGGAGCUUGCUCCUCUGACGUUAGCGGCGGACGGGUGAGUAACACGUGGUUAACCUACCUAUAAGACUGGGAUAACUUCGGGAAACCGGAGCUAAUACCGGAUAAUAUAUUGAACCGCAUGGUUCAAUAGUGAAAGACGGUUUUGCUGUCACUUAUAGAUGGAUCCGCGCCGCAUUAGCUAGUUGGUAAGGUAACGGCUUACCAAGGCAACGAUGCGUAGCCGACCUGAGAGGGUGAUCGGCCACACUGGAACUGAGACACGGUCCAGACUCCUACGGGAGGCAGCAGUAGGGAAUCUUCCGCAAUGGGCGAAAGCUUGACGGAGCAACGCCGCGUGAGUGAUGAAGGUCUUGGGAUCGUAAAACUCUGUUAUUAGGGAAGAACAAAUGUGUAAGUAACUAUGCACGUCUUGACGGUACCUAAUCAGAAAGCCACGGCUAACUACGU
rnacentral:rRNA from 1 species